rnacentral:tRNA from 1 species
GCCCAUGUGGCUCAGUGGACAGAGCGUCAGCCUGGGGACUGAAGGGUCCCGGGUUCGAUUCCAGUCACGGACA